GCUCCAACAGCUGCUUUUCAGCACGGUCCAGGUCAUGACUCACAGAAGUAAUAAGGCCCGCAGUUGGCUUUGAUCUGCGGCGAGGUUUGCAACAGCGAUGUGAACAACAAUGCCCGUUUUUCCACUGAGACAAAAAAACGACAAAGGAAGCACGGCUGUGGAAAGGUUCACUCAACCCACCCUUUCCUGAGAUGUAAUUAAGGGCAUUUUUUUCUUCCCCAGAAGUGACUCAACUAUUACACCUGGAUGAGGCACCCAUCUUCCUUCAAUCAAGCAAAAGCAGACCAGAUAGAGAGGAUGACACAGGGAGAGGCAGAGCGACAGAGGCACCAGACAGACUCCGGGAGCCCAGCGGAGUCAGUUACAUUGUUGCCAGCUCGCCUAUCUGAUCACAGCGCACUGCCUCGUCUCUUUCAUGUAAAACAACCACUGUUUUUGACAACGCAUUUGUUAAAAGCCGCCCAAGAAACACGCAGAGCACAGAUGAAAGAGGCCUCAGGAGAAGAACUUUUACUGGCAAGCUUCACAUCCAUCAGUGUUAAUUUCUGUUUUUACUGAGCUGUGGCGUGUACUGUAUAUGUAAAUGUGUGGCAGUGCGUUAAGCUGAUUGAGAUGUCAUUGUUGGAGGAGCCUGGGUGGUGGACUGGCUGAGCUGCAGACAUGGCUGAGGUAAUAUCUGGCUUUGAGCUCCAAGAUCAAUUUUAGCCAGUUGAGAACAAAAUGACAGGGGGGACAGUUAUUUAAUAUUAUAAUGAAAGUCAUGUCACUGAGGUUAAACUGCCUUAACACAGAAAGUACCCAGUUCCCUGCUUAGAGGUGGGGUCCAGCAUGGGAAAGGGAAGAGGUCGUAGAUAGAACUCUGAGGAAAAGAUUUCAUGCCCAAGGAAGAAGAUCCAAUCUAUAAAUAUGAUGGAGUGAUGGUGAAAAUCUGAAGGCACCCUGCCGAGCCGCAUUUCACAACUCUCUGAGGGGCCCUAUAGGGAGACUUCUCCCACUGUUCCUAUAGUAGCUGUAGCUCCACGCAUUUCACACCACCCCCUCUAACACACACAUAAGUGUUUCUACAGCCAAAUGCUGCAGGGCCUGGAUAUGUAGAUGCCAUCCCUGGUAUUUGAACUAAAAAUCUAAAUUUAAAGACUUUUUAAAAAACUGUUUACAGCUGAAGUUAUGGCACACGGACAGAAAUAGUUCACAGGAUGAAAUGUCACAAUAGUUUUAACCUUUAAAGGUUUAACGUUUUUCCAGGGAAAGUGAUUCUACACUUUAUGGAAAUAUGCUUAUAAUAUUAUGGAGAAUUAUGUUGCAAACUUCACAUUUUGGCCUAAAGGACAGACGAGACAUGGAACUGUAUAAUUCUUGGUCAAGAUUUGUAAAUUUACAGCAAUCUCUUCAUACUCAAGUUUUAGCCAUUAGACAAAGAAAUCCAUAAUAUGAGGAAUCAUAAAUUUCCACAGCAUUAUCCUCUGGGGAAAAUGAAUGUAUUUGUGAUAAUCUGACCAUGAGAAUUAUUUCUCCAUGUGGACAUUUUGGCCUUCUGAUAAAUGAGUCCCCCAGACGUUAUCAUACUUUAUUACAUAUGCACAGAAAUACCUAUAUGCUUGUGAAAUGCCAGAUGCCAAAUGUCUGGGGACCAUGAACACACCAAAUGAAAGUCCAGAAAUGAAAACAUAUCUUCUAAUGGGUGUGAGAGAGCGCCAAAACAAAAAAUAUAAAUGACGUUUCUUGCAGUGUGUUCCCAAAAAAUGACUUCUGGAAAUCAAAGGAUCUCUGCCGAUGAGCUCAAAAUGAUAGGAAUAUAUUUGUUCUAGAGCUGCGCAUGAAAAAUGCAGGAUCUAGGAGAGGAAGGUGCAGGGCGAGGGGCCACUCUGAAUUCAGAACAGGAACCAAACCACUGGAAGACCCCAACAGGAUUCCAGUGUGGGUUGCCAGGGCAACAUGAGCAGGAACUUUCAACCAUGACAGCCGAACUGCAUAAGACGAUCUGAGGAGCACGGAACAACGGGGAACAUGGGAGGGGGGAGUAAAAGAUGCGUAUUUACAGAAACAAAACUGGAAAAACAAUGAAGGCGUGCUGGGCAGAUUUUAGCACCGCAACAAAGACGGAGAAAGUUCUGAGACUGUCUGGGAUGCUCUGGUGGAGGGGGGGGGGCUUUGUUGUGAGCCGGAGCUUGCCAACUAGUUGUUUUGACUGUCGCUUGGUAACCAGAACCCCACAGCUCCAUCACACACACACACACACACACACACAGAAAGGCUUGUGUGCGACUCACGGAAGGCACAGAAGCGCAUACACAAC